rnacentral:rRNA from 1 species
CACGUAGGGUGCGAGCGUUGUCCGGAAUUAUUGGGCGUAAAGAGCUCGUAGGCGGUGUGUCGCGUCGGCCGUGAAAACCUGUGGCUUAACUAUGGGCUUGCGGUCGAUACGGGCAUCACUGGAGUUCGGCAGGGGAGACUGGAAUUCCUGGUGUAGCGGUGAAAUGCGCAGAUAUCAGGGGGAACACCGGUGGCGAAGGCGGGUCUCUGGGCCGAUACUGACGCUGAGGAGCGAAAGCGUGGGGAGCGAACAGG